GGACGAACGCUGGCGGCGUGCUUAACACAUGCAAGUCGAACGCUGAAGGCCCAGCUUGCUGGGUUGGAUGAGUGGCGAACGGGUGAGUAACACGUGAGUAACCUGCCCCCUUCUUUGGGAUAACGGUCGGAAACGGCUGCUAAUACCGGGUAUUCACUGUCCUUCGCAUGGGGGGUGGUGGAAAGGUUUUUUCUGGUGGGGGAUGGGCUCGCGGCCUAUCAGCUUGUUGGUGGGGUGAUGGCUUACCAAGGCUUUGACGGGUAACCGGCCUGAGAGGGUGACCGGUCACAUUGGGACUGAGAUACGGCCCAGACUCCUACGGGAGGCAGCAGUGGGGAAUAUUGCACAAUGGGCGAAAGCCUGAUGCAGCGACGCCGCGUGAGGGAUGACGGCCUUCGGGUUGUAAACCUCUUUCGCUCAUGGUCAAGCCGCAACAGUGGUUGUGGUGAGGGUAGUGGGUAAAGAAGCACCGGCUAACUACGU
rnacentral:rRNA from 1 species